GACGAACGCUGGCGGCGUGCUUAACACAUGCAAGUCGAACGGAAAGGCCCUGCUUUUGUGGGGUGCUCGAGUGGCGAACGGGUGAGUAACACGUGAGUAACCUGCCCUUGACUUUGGGAUAACUUCAGGAAACUGGGGCUAAUACCGGAUAGGAGCUCCUGCUGCAUGGUUGGGGUUGGAAAGUUUCGGCGGUUGGGGAUGGACUCGCGGCUUAUCAGCUUGUUGGUGGGGUAGUGGCUUACCAAGGCUUUGGCGGGUAGCCGGCCUGAGAGGGUGACCGGCCACAUUGGGACUGAGAUACGGCCCAGACUCCUACGGGAGGCAGCAGUGGGGAAUAUUGCACAAUGGGCGGAAGCCUGAUGCAGCAACGCCGCGUGCGGGAUGACGGCCUUCGGGUUGUAAACCGCUUUCGCCUGUGACGAAGCGUGAGUGACGGUAAUGGGUAAAGAAGCACCGGCUAACUACGUG
rnacentral:rRNA from 1 species